GGGAGGCGCGGGGAGCUAGCGGCCGAUCCUCAGUCGGGCUGGGGAGAAGACGACCCCCGCUAGUUCGGCCUCUCCAUUCAAGUUCGCUGGCCGCGGCCGCCGGGAUCCGGGGAUGGCACCAGACGCCCGACCGCCUCUGCGCCUUUUUUCCAGCCACCGCGCAGAAAUUUAGGUCAAGGACGUCGGGAUCAAACCCAAACCCUGGCGCUCCUCGGGUGGACCCCGAGACCCCCUAGAAUCGGGGGGCUUCAGGAUUGCGGAGACGCUCUCGCAUAAACACCAGCCACAAGUUUUAUUUUCCUUUCGCGCUGGAAGUUCUCUUUGGCUCUCGCAGCACACCGGCACGUCUUGCGCCGCUCCCCGCCCUUCCCCGGCAGAGCCAGGCCUUCAGAUGACAGCGACGCGGACCCACGUCCUGAGUGCCACUUCACGGGACGCCCUGAGCCGGGACCUUUCCACUCCACCGUUGCGGUUCCUGACCCUCAGCUGCUGUGUGAGGAUGCUCCUCGUUUACUUUUGGUAUUGCAUGUCGCCGCCACGCCGGGCGCUUCACUGAUUAAAGAGACAGCUCACUCCGUGUGUCUCCUGGUGUUACAAGCCUUACUCUCAAGAACCGACAUGGCAGACUUGGCACCAAAAAAAGAGCAAACCCUAUUUUUACCAGAAAAUAUUUGGCAGAUGAAUUUGUAUUCAUAGAAAUCCCAGCGACUAUAAAUUCCAUGUCUGAAAGUAAUGGGCCCUUUGUAUUUCCUUUAUUUUUAAAUUUAUUUUUAAUAGUUUUUUAUUGUAUUUUUUUCCCAUUGUGAUUUAUCCCUUUUAUACCCUCUUCCGCCUCCACCCACCCCUCCCCCCUCCCCAUGUAUUUCCUUUAAACAAAUAAGUAGCUCUUUCCUCAAUGAUGACUUCUGAGCAUGCUCUUAAAUUCAGGGCUAGUGUGUUUUCUUCCAAGAAACAGACAGUGAGCGCGUGCACACAUCCUAGGUUGGUCCUUCUUCUAGGUGUGUAGAACAUGGGAAAACCAAGAUGGUAUCUUUCUAACCGUCAUAACUAGAGGUAUAAAUUAUCGGGAGGGAAAACAUGAAAAAAAGGGUGUGAGGCUGAGAGAAAGUGAAAUUCUAAUUUUCAGACACUGCUGAUGUAACAUACAGCUACUUCUGUGUGUAACUUAUUUACCCCUAACAAGAGUUUGAUACAUUCAGAGGCAUAAAGGCCUUUUCCAUUUAAGUGAUAGAGAAACUUUGUUUUGUUUUGUUUUUAUUUGUCUUUCCAAACUAGCCAAGGAAAUGCAAAAAACAAAAACAAAAACAAAAACAAAACCCAAAAAACAAAUAAAACGUGUUCAGCCAAA